rnacentral:tRNA from 1 species
GCGCCCGUAGCUCAGUUGGAUAGAGCAACGGAUUUCUAAUCCGUCGGUCGGUGGUUCGAAUCCACCCGGGCGCGC